GUCUCCAUCAAAAGCCUUGCCCCUACCCUAAAGCCAUGCUUCUACAUAGCUUUUAGCCAUACUUUGGCAGCCACCAACUCCCCUAAUUUCAGCCCUCAAACAUCAUUGCAUAGUUGAAGGAAACCCAUCCCUUGCACUUUCACUAGCAACUCAAAUUUAUUUGAUCUCAAAUAUCCUUCAAAUUGCUCUCUCGUUCCAGCCUAUCCAUGGAGUUUCAAGUAUACAACAAGAGACCACCAUUCAAAGAACUCUUCCUCAUCACACCAUUUAUCACAAGGCUUUGUGACCAGGGGGAUUAGCGCUGCUUUCCCAAGACAGAUUUUUAUGUGUAUGAUCUUCAGGCUUUGCCUAUCCAGGUUGGCUGGCCGGUGCUGACGGGACUGAGGCUAGGGUUCAAUUUCUAUAUAGACUUCCGCUGUAGUAAUGACUCUUAUACACCUUUUAUUUUCUCAACUUAAGAUGAUUUCAUGUCAAGCUUCAAUUUAAAAUUUCUAGUUUUAUGUUAAUGAACGUCGGUUGUCAGAAACAUGAAACAAAACUUAUGAUCCAAAGGGGCCUAGCCCGACUCGUUAUCUUAUUAUUCGGGUUUUAACAA